rnacentral:lncRNA from 1 species
AUGUUGUUGUGUUGUGUGGGUUUUGUUUAAGCCCAACCAUUCCUCCCUCUUUCUCCACUUGUGCAGGCAGACUGUGUCUGAGGGUGGAUCAGCGUGCCUGGCUCUCUUCUGCAUGGCUCACUGACUGACUGCUCUCCUGCGUGCCUGCGCAGGCUUCGAUGGAACCUGAGCGACGUGAUCUCGCAGCGUGAUCUUGGACGUGAAGGCUUCAAGUGAGGUGGUCUGCAGCUCCACAGGCAGCCGCCCUGCCUCCACUUCCAUGCUCCCCUAUACUUCUCCCCCAAGUACAGACCCCAUAUUCUAUUAAUCUAGACCUUGUCUAUGUAGAUUAUUGUUGCCGAAACCUGCCAAAUCUACAGCACAGUGAGACUGUGAAAGGAAGAAUUUUACAGGAUUUU